ensembl:lncRNA
AUAAAACGUUGGCCUUGCCGGACCACCGCUGCGGAGGACAUGUCGCCCUGGACAAACAGCCCGCCGGUCUCAUCCACCUCUCCUCACCUGGACCUUCUGCUGCCGUCCACCACACGCACCAGCCCGCCCACCACCAGUCUGCGGCGGUGCCGGCCUGCAGCUGGACCCUCGGCCUUCCUCCGGGUCGGAGGGUGCUUUUAAAGUUGGUGUGGUUGGACAGAGGUUCAGGCACGGUGAGCUGUGCUGGGGACGAGGGGAACCGGGUCCUGGAGAGCGGGGGGGCGGUUCUGCUCUCGGGCUGUGAUGGACACAGAGCCGCCUUCACUUGGACGGGAUCAGUACGCCCCUCAAGUGGAGUUCAGCUGUCCUAUAAUGUCCAGGAAGAUGAGAGGAAUUCCUCGGAGGACCACGCCGGCCCACGUUCAGACCGAGACCUCCAUCGUUGGUCUCCGACAGGAACCAGCUUUACAAGCGCCUCUCCUGUGGCUCAACACGUGGCGAGAGGCACGGACGGGCGCACAGGUCGCCUCUUUGAAGGUCCGCAGGGGAGCCCUGUGCCUCGGCCUGCGUCCAGUCCCUCCUCCCGGGACCAGGGGCCACUGCACCCCACCUCCCCCCCCGCAGGGACCCACCAUGGCUGGGAGAGCCGAUAGGGAAACUCUCCCUCUUCCUGAGGAAGCGCCGAACAAUGGAGCGGAUACAUCUGGAGCUGCUCGCCACGCCGAUGGAAAAAUGCCUGCCGCGGACAGAGCGCGACCCAGUUUCCAGCCCACGGACUCGCCGUUUGACACAACGCACACAUCAAACACAGGGAGGGAAUCGAGCGACCAGCCCGUUACCUCCGAAGCCUUGCCCGGCGUGUAUGUUCACAAAUACACAGCCACUCGAGCUCGCUCCAGCCCCAGCGUCCACCUUCUCAGCUCCGCUUCGCCUUCCGGGGCCACCUGGGAGGGUGGUGCUUCUGGGGAGGAACAGCCCCAUUCCUGGAGGAGCCAUCGAAGCACAGACGGACUCAACUCCGAUCUGACCUCCGCCUUCACCUCUGAUCCUGUGAAACCCCCAACCGAGCCUCGGCAGGGUGACUCCCAGGCCGACGCCGCGCCGCCAUCGCCGCGAGCCCUUGUCGCAGAGCUUGAAACCGAGGCCGCUUCGUUUCAUCCAAACACGGGUGGAACUGACUCAUCCGUUCCGGCUGCGUCGGAGGUCACCAAUCACACCGUCACGUCCGAGCCCUACGAACUCGUGACGCUUCACACUUUCACUUCCUCCACAGGGAGUCGAGCGAACCCUCCGCAAAGCACCAGGGGCCUCGUGGCAGAUGCGGCGGCCCAGACCUCGGCCCCCUCGGGAACGACUACUGACGCUGGAACGUCCACGCUGCCUCCCACCUACACGCCCUCACGCGACAGGUGGCCCGCCAGUUCGCAGACUCCUGAUGCCCUUUUCUCGCCCGGGGCGUCCACGCGGUCAUCAACGGCGUCGCGCACGCUCCAAACACCCACUGCGUUGCCCGGUCGUUCCCGUUUGACACACGCACCCUUUGCUCCGCCCUCCUCUACCGCUGAACCACUCAUUGGCCACGACAACGAGCCUGGGCCCUCACAAACCAUCGAAUCCGAAUCUUCACGCACACCUCAUACGCAAAACCGCGUACCUUGGACGUUUUCCCCGGUUACGCUUAAACAGCCGCGUAUUACCACUGCACCCACGUCUCUGCUCUCACCCGCAACUGCAAAAACACAUUCUGGGCUUGGAAGUGAAGAGGUAGAGGAAGCGGAGAAAAAGACCACACAGACCCCCACAGUCGGGUCUCCAUUAACUAGGCCUCCAUCGACCGGGCCUCCAUCGACANNNNNNNNNNGGGCCUUUAUCGACCGGGCCUCCAUCGACCGGGCCUCCAUCGACCGGGCCUCCAUCGACAGGGCCUCCAUCGACCGGGCCUUUAUCGACCGGGCCUUUAUCGACCGGGCCUCCAUCGACAGGGCCUUUAUCGACCGGGCCUUUAUCGACCGGGCCUCCAUCGACCGGGCCUCCAUCGACCGGGCCUUUAUCGACCGGGCCUCCAUUGUGGACCGCCUCACACCCCGGCCAGGAGCCCCGUUCCACACUCACACCUCCUGCUCUAACCUUCGCCUGGAGCCCCGCGGCCACUCAGACACCCGACUUCUACAUCGUGCCGGACCAACCUUCAGCCAUCAGAGGUAA